GACGAACGCUGGCGGCGUGCCUAAUACAUGCAAGUCGAGCGAGACUCUUCGGAGUCUAGCGGCGGACGGGUGAGUAACACGUGGGCAACCUGCCUGUAAGACUGGGAUAACACCGGGAAACCGGUGCUAAUACCGGAUAAUCCUUUUCCUCUCAUGAGGAAAAGCUGAAAGUCGGUUUCGGCUGACACUUACAGAUGGGCCCGCGGCGCAUUAGCUAGUUGGUGAGGUAAUGGCUCACCAAGGCGACGAUGCGUAGCCGACCUGAGAGGGUGAUCGGCCACACUGGGACUGAGACACGGCCCAGACUCCUACGGGAGGCAGCAGUAGGGAAUCUUCCACAAUGGACGAAAGUCUGAUGGAGCAACGCCGCGUGAGUGAUGAAGGCCUUCGGGUCGUAAAGCUCUGUUGUUAGGGAAGAACAAGUACCGAAGUAACUGCCGGUACCUUGACGGUACCUAACCAGAAAGCCACGGCUAACUACGUGCCAGCAGCCGCCGUAAAAC
rnacentral:rRNA from 1 species